rnacentral:rRNA from 1 species
GUACCGCGGCUGCUGGCACGGAGUUAGCCGAUGCUUAUUCCUACGCUACCGUCAGUGCCCUACACGUAGGGCCGUUUCUUGGCGUAGAAAAGCAGUUUACAACCCAUAGGGCCGUCAUCCUGCACGCGGGAUGGCUGGUUCAGGCUCGCGCCCAUUGACCAAUAUUCCUCACUGCUGCCUCCCGUAGGAGUCUGGUCCGUGUCUCAGUACCAGUGUGGGGGAUAAUCCUCUCAGAACCCCUACUGAUCGUCGCCUUGGUGAGCCGUUACCUCACCAACUAGCUAAUCAGACGCAUGCCCAUCUUAUACCAUCGGAAUUUUAAUUAUAAAUCCAUGCGAAUUCAUAAUGUUAUGGGGUAUUAAUCCACGUUUCCAUGGGCUAUCCCCCUGUAUAAGGCAGGUUGCAUACGCGUUACGCACCCGUGCGCCGCUCGCCACCAGACCGAAGUCCGUGCUGCCGCUCGACUUGCAUGUGUUAAGCCUCCCGCUAGCGUUCAUCCUGAGCCAGGAUCAAACUC